UCCUCAAUUUCAGCCUUCAGCUUCAGGACCGGACACGCGCGAUUUUGAAAUUCAUUUUUCACUUUCCCUUCCAACCUUCCCGCUGCACUGAGCCACGCAGACCGGAGAGCAGUCGACCGCAGCUUCACGCCUCCAAGUUCAACUCCACGACCUCGACCACGCCUCCGCCUCCACCUCCACUCCUCCACACGACGCGACUGCAAGAUACUUGCUUCCUCGACCCAGAUCUCCACCCAAAUUUCUGUCCCAGCUUUGCCUCAGAUUUCCACCGCCGUCGUUCUCUUCGACCUAGAUCUGGUGUUGCCUCAAAUCCAUCGUUCUCCUCGUCGUCCUCAGAUCUGGUGGAAAGCUAUAGACUUUGCAACACUGAACCGAUGUUCUAUAUCAUAUUUUGACUCUGAUAAAUUAGAACCAGCUGUUUGAAAAUGGGCAAGAGCAAGGACCAUGGCUGCUAAGGUGGGAAAAGGCUUGUCCAAAGAUGAGAUGGCCCAGAAAUUAGCGCUAAGGCACUGGCUUGAAGCUAUUGAUCCUCGUCAUCGCUAUGGCCACAACCUUCACAUCUACUAUGAUGUCUGCUUUCAUAGCCAGAGCUCUCAACCUUUUUUCUACUGAUUAUGUCAGUCAAGGCAGUAUCAUUAAUAUUGGCCUGGUGCACACAAAUAAAAAGGGAUUCUGCUCUUGGCUAUGCUUUCACUUUUAUAUGGCAAUUCUUCUGGAGGACUACUAAAUUUCCACCUUCAUGUUCAGAGGUAUCUGCUUGAAAUGCUUUAUCAACUAUAAAUAUAAUGCAUAUUUUGUGAUGAUUGAAAUUUAUGGUGGUGUGGUUUUUAUUACCGAAAUGAAUGUUGUUAUUUGUAAAGUGGAUUGAAGCAGAAAUUUGUUUGACAGCAUAUGAAGCAUUAGUUUUUGUUUUGAGAGUACUAGCAUCUACAUACUUUUCUCAAUUUUUGUUUCUCAUCAUGGGAAAAGAGAAAUUGUUUUUGGAGAGUGAAGGGAGGCCUUAGUUAGAUUCUAUGCUUUUAUCUUUUAUUCAAAAUAUUAACAAUCUCCUUGGAGUAGGAUUUUUGGCAAGAACUCGAAGAGCUGUUUUGUUGGAUUGGAAGCUGUUCUCUCUUUAUCUUGAGCGCGGCAGUGACUAACCCGGAUUCAGGCGUCCAUGGACUUGGCAGUAGCUUAAAUUUCGCCGGAAUCUCAGUUUUGCCCAGUUUUGCAGCUUUUGCGGCCUGAGAAGAAUUAAAAUGAAAGAAGUUAGUCGAUGUCAAGAAUAUAAAAACAUUAUUUAUAUAAGUAGUAAUUCUCCAAAGCUGAAGGCGCAUAACUUCAAAUGGUAACAAGGCCUUAUUACAGCAGGAGCGCACAUCGACCAGGCUUAUCAUCAAGAAGAGAAUCAGGUUUUGUUCCCCCUUGAAGGCUUGGUUUGGAUGGAGAAAAAAGUAAGAAAAAAUAGGGAGAAAAGAAAACUAGGAGGAGAAAUUCCCAACAAAAAUUUUUUUUUACUAUUUUUUGUUUUUUUUUUACCAUUUUUAGAAGUUUAUUGUCCUAGUUUUUCUUCCUUUUAUAUUUUUCUCACGAAAGGGAAAGGGGGGAGGAGGGGACUAAAGAAAUAACACAUCAUCUGUCUUAAACAGCUUAUACAAAGUCAUUAGUUCCAUUUUACAGAGUUCGGAAGAACACUACCUUCUAAGUACAUCUACAAAACCGUAUCACACAUCAACCAGGAGACUAAAAAAAAUAACACAUCAUCUGUCUUUUCCUCUUGGUCUUAUAGUAGUGCUAUUUUUCUUUUCUCAACUGGACUCUUCUCCUCGAAUCUUGUCAGGUGUUAAAACACUCUUUAUUCUUUCUUUUUGUAUCAUUUCGCUUUCUAUUAAUUUAUAUUUGAUUCACUUCCCAAAAAAAGGGGUAUUCCUCUUUGACACAGAUAUUAGACUUCACAUAUGUAGAAAUACUCAUCAUGCAAAUUUAAUCAAUAUAAUUCCAGAACGUGGCCUGCCCAAGACUAUUCGUUCAACAUCAGAGACAGUUUCAGGAUCAUCACAUAGCUCAGGAAAAUCUGUGCACGAAACACCAGCUUGCUGGGCCCAUUUCUCCAAAGUAUGACGUGAAGGAACAAUGAGAGCCACACAAUAGUCGCGGAAGGGAUCUGCAUAAACCAUAAUACUAUCCACGUAACGACAUGUUGACAGUGCUGCCUCAACCUGCAAUGAAGUUGGAACAGAGCACAAAAAAAGAUCCAGAUUAAUUUUCUAUAAGCCUUGUGCAAGUAGUUCAUCAAGAAUGAUAAGUUAAAGUCACCUUCCCAAUAGAGAUAUAUUCUCCAUGUUGAAGUUUGACAAUAUCCUUUUUUCUAUCUAUAAUUUCAAGACACCCAUCAGGAUGGAACCUUCCGAUAUCACCAGUAUAAAACCAACGCAUACCUUUCUCAUCAACCUGUACCAAGUUCACAAUUUGGUAUCCAGAGCCUCUUUCCUCACCUUGUAUGCCUGAAACACAUUCACAAGCUGCGCAAAGAAGAACGGCAUAUCAAAAUGAUGAGAGGUUUCAUACCCUGGAGAAUAUAUUCCAAGCCCUCACCACCUAGGUUGCCCAACUCAUUAGAAGCUUUGAUGAGUCUCGUAAUGGUGGAGGCUCUCCAUUUGACAGUAGCGACAGCAGCCCUCACUGGCCUAGAACUAAACAAUGUGAUUGUCUACCACCUACACAUUUUACCAAGAUGGACUUUCCAAGAUUAUAGAAUGCAGAUGUUCUUGGAUGGCUUCUAAAUUGUGAAAGACAUUUUCAUUUGGAUGAAACACCAAAAGCUAGGAAAAUCACCAUGGCUAGCAUUCAUAUGGACAAGAAGGCAUUCUAGUGGCAUCAAUCAUUUGAGCACUCAUCAGCAGGCCAACAAAUCCUUCAUAUGACUCGGACAAUUAUGUUAAAGCAAUUCAAGCAAGACUCGGACCUUCAUAUGAAGCCUUGAUGGAGGAUCUCAUGCAUUUGCAAAAGACAAGGAGUUUAGGGGUGUGUAAAGAUGCAUUCAAUGAGAUCGUAUGCAUUGCAAGCUUAAUCUUGUUCAGUCCUAUCUAGUAGGCUAGCAGGAAGAUUCGCUAGGCCUAAUUGAAUCUUGAUGCCCAAUACACUUCAAGAUGCAAAAAGUUGACCUGCCUCCAAGAAAUUAACCUCUAGAAGGCAUUUGAUGCAUUCACAUGGAGAAAAACAUUGUUUGGUAUUGUUGGGGGUUCUGGGUGUCAUUGAAGCCUUCUAUUCUGAAACAUAGGUAAUGACCAAGAAGGGAAGUUCUUGUGGUGAGUCCUAACAAAUCAAAACAAAUUCAUCCAAAACACCUUCAGGGGCACCCACGGCUUUGUCUGCAAGAUCAAACCUAGGAAGCUCAUCUUUUUCAUCGUCCAAACAACAAACCUUUGGUUUGAUAAUCUCCAAGACGAUGAGCCUAAAAGAAGAUGCAAAACUUAGAGACCGGAAUCUUCAUUUUUAUUGCCAUCAAAAGUAUUCAAGAGGCCAUAAUUUCCCUCAGAGAAGGAAAAUGCAGUUACAAAUUAUAGAAAUUGAUAAAACCUCUGAAGAACACAUUCAAGAACCUUAUGGUAAGAAUGAAGAUGAUGAAGACUCCCUUGGAUGUCUCCAUGUUUCAAUUCAUGCUAUAGAAGGGGAGGUGGGAACAAAUUCAAUGAGGCUGCAAGUACAUGUGGGCAGGAAGCCAGCUCAAAUUCUGGUUGACAAUGGAAUCAUCCUUGACUUCUUAGAUUAUGAUUUAACCAAGAAACUUGGAUGAAAUGGGGAAGAUGACUGGGCAAAUGCAGUGGUUGCUGGAGCAAGAAGAUUGAAGGUCUAUGGUGUUUGGAAAGAAUUCAAAUGGUGGAUGUAAGGAGAGGAGUUCUCCAUAGAUUUAAGAGUCAUGAAUAUAAAAUUGACAAUUUUUUGGGGCUGGAAAUGGCUCAAAAGUCUUUGUUACGCUUUUUAGGAUUAUGAUUCUUCAAAAAUGUAUUUAUAGAAUAAUGGAAGAAUGUGUUUUGCAAGCACAACCUCAAAUGGAAUGGCACCUGUAGCAAAAUACAUGUGAAAAUCUUAUUUUACUAUAUGCAUUUAUUGUAGGCCUUACAAAUUGACAAGAUAAGUGAUGAGGAAGACCUUGGCAAGGCUGUGGAUGCAGGAAGAUACCAACAGAUGGUGGGGAAGUUAAUCUACCUCUCACACUUGACUAGAUAUUGCUUUCACAGUAAGUAUGGUUAGUCAGCGCUCUCGUGAUCCAAGGCAAAACACUUAAGUCUACAGAAUUCUUAGACACCUUAAAGGAUCUCCGAGAUGUGGCCUCUUGUUCAAGAAGUCUAACACAUGAAUGUGGAAAUUUUUAUAGAUGCAGAUUGGGCAAGUGACUAGGAUGACAAAAUCCAAAUUUGGAUAUUGUAUGUAUGUUUGGGGCAAUCUUGUCACUUGGCGAAGUAAGAAGCAGAGUGUAGUUGCAAAAAGCAGUGUAGAAGCUGAGUUUAGAGCAGUAGCACUUGGGAUUUGUGAUGGUAUAUGGCUUAAGCGAGUACUUGAUGAAUUGAAGAAAAGUGUAAAUUUGCCAAUCAAACUUUGUUCAGACAGUAUGGCAGCCAGUAACAUAUCACAUAAUUCGGUUCAACAUCAUAGAACUAAGCAUGUUGAGAUUGGUGGGCAUUUUAUAAGAGAAAAGAUAGACAAUGGGAUAAUUCGACUAGUCUAUAUUCCUUUAGUACAACAAAUCACAAACAUCUUUACAAAAGGAGUAGCUCAAGACAAAUUUGACUACUUUGUGGCAAGUUGGACAUGAUUAACAUCCAUGAUCCAAAUUGAGGGAGAAUGUGAAAAUCCCAAUUUAUUAUAUACAUUUAUUGUAAAUAUUAUAGAAUCAGAUCUUAUUCUUUAUUCUUUAUUCCUUGUUUAAUUUCUCCCUGAUUUUCAGUCCUCACAAUUAUUAGGGCUGGAUGUAUUUUUGCUAUACAUAUAUUUUCCCCUCUUGGGAGGAAAAAUAUAUCCAAGCAUUAUUUCCAAUUCUCCUACAAUUCAAUGCCAUCAAAAUUCCAUUAGUAACCAACCUAGAUUGGCCUUUAUAUCAAAUGAAUGUGAAAAAUGCAUUCUUGCAUAGUGAUUUAGAAGAAGAGGUUUAUAUGGAGACACCUCUUCGUUUUCGAACCAAGACCAAGAAUAAAGCCCAUAAGCUUCUAAGCCUUACAAAUCUCUAAGUGGUUUGGAACAGUCUCUUAGAGCAUGGUUUGGACACUUCACUACAAUUGUGUAGGAGAAUGGAUACAAACAGUGCCAGUCAGAUCAUAUUUUGUUCCUUAAGCAUAGAUGAGAAAAGAGGGCUAUACUAAUUGUUUAUGUUGAUGAUAUUAUCAAUCACUGGUGAUGCAUGGAGAUUCAGCAAAUGAAAGGUCAACUAGCAUCAGAAUUCGAAGUGAAAGAUCUUGGAAAUUUGAGGUAUUUUCUUGGCUUGGAAGUUGCUAGAUAAAAUGGCAUUUAUAUGUCUCAGAAUAUAUACUCUUGAUUUCCUAUAGCAAACAAACAUGUUGGGAUGUAGACAAGCAGCUACUCUUAUUGAUCUUAACCUCAAAUUAGGUGUACAUGAAGAUUGUCCACUUGCUGAUGAAGAACGAUAUCAACAUCUAUUGGGGAAAUUGAUCUACUUAUCCCACACUGGACCAAAUAUAACCUAUCUUGUCAAUAUGUGUGUAGUCUUCAGGAUACUCAAUUAUUUGAAGUCUUCUCCUGGUAAAGCUUUAUUCUUCAAAAUGGAAGUUGUAGUUUCAAGAAGUAGUGCAGAAGCUGAACUUCAAGCUCUUGCACAUGGUAUAUGUGAAGGUCUUUGACUGGAAAGAGUGUUCAAGGAGUUGAAGAUCCAUUAUGAAGAGCCUAUGAAAUUUUUAUGAGACAAUCAAGCUAUUGGUAUUGUGAAGAAUCCAAUUCAUUGUGUUGGACCAAACAUGUUGAAAUUGAUCAUCACUUCAUUAAAGAGAAAAUUGGCAACAAGCAAGUUGAAGUAAGGUACACGCCUACAAGGAUACAGAUUGCAGAUAUCCCUUACCAAGUCCCUGGCAAAGCCUAAGUUUGAAAGCUUAAUGAGCAAGUUGAGAAUGAUUGACAUCUAUUCUCCAACAUAAGGGAGAGCACUGGAAAGA